rnacentral:rRNA from 1 species
AUUGAACGCUGGCGGAAUGCUUUACACAUGCAAGUCGAACGGCAGCACGGACUUCGGUCUGGUGGCGAGUGGCGAACGGGUGAGUAAUACAUCGGAACGUGCCCAGUCGUGGGGGAUAACGUAGCGAAAGCUACGCUAAUACCGCAUACGAUCUAAGGAUGAAAGCGGGGGACCGUAAGGCCUCGCGCGAUUGGAGCGGCCGAUGGCAGAUUAGGUAGUUGGUGGGGUAAAGGCUCACCAAGCCGACGAUCUGUAGCUGGUCUGAGAGGACGGCCAGCCACACGGGGUCUGGGAGACGGCCCAGACUCCUACGGGAGGAAGCGGUGGGGAAUUGUGGACAAUGGGCGCAAGCCUGAUCCAGCCAUUCCGCGUGCAGGAUGAAGGCCCUCGGGUUGUAAACUGCUUUUGUACGGAACGAAAAGGCUCUGGUUAAUACCUGGGGCUCAUGACGGUACCGUAAGAAUAAGCACCGGCUAACUACGUGCCAGCCGCUGCGGUAA